GAAGUCAAGCAUCAUUGGGCGCGGUCAGUACUUGGGUGGGUGACCACCUGGGAACACUGCGUGCCGUU